rnacentral:rRNA from 1 species
UGAUGCAGAGCAAAUCCCCAAAAAAUUGUCUCAGUUCAGAUUGCAGGCUGCAACUCGCCUGCAUGAAGUCGGAAUUGCUAGUAAUCGCAGAUCAGCAUGCUGCGGUGAAUACGUUCCCGGGCCUUGUACACACCGCCCGUCACACCAUGGGAGUCGGUAACACCCGAAGUCGGUAGCCUAACCGUAAGGAGGGCGCCGCCGAAGGUGGGAUUGAUGACUGGGGUGAAGUCGUAACAAGGUAAC